GGGGGGAGAAGAGCUUCGAGCAGGCACUGAAGGAUGCGCUUAACUUUCGAACGAAGUGAAGUGAUCGAUUGAAUGAUUUGUGCAGCAACGACAGCAACCGUGAUGAGUGAUAACCGUGCCGAAACAACCGACCGUAUAUCAGCUACAAACAGCACAGAAAUCUGCGGCCGAAAACCGAGCAUCAGUAGUAAGAUUGUAGAGUUUCGACUUGUUGCCCAGAGGGCUUGAUGAUGUGGCUGCGAGCGUGAUGAUCGACAGCAUCAAGUACUAUAAAGCGGUCAACGAGCUGAACAUCACCGACACACUGCAGAUGACGAGCUAAACGGCGACGGCUUGUAUGGCGCCACCGAAGGCGAAGCAUCCUACCAACUUGCCAUACGAUCCCUUGGUGCAAAAGUGACGAAACACUGCCUGCUGCUUCAGCAGGAUAACUUUCCACAGCUUGCAAGCCGUCUAGCACCGGGAGAUGCACAGAACGGGGCGCUCCAUGGGGAGGUUGUCGAUGAUCUGAGCCGCUCAUCAACACCGAUCGACUACGAUGCUAGCGAUCUAUCUACAACCAUUAACAUCAACAGCAACAACUGCAUCAUCAUCAGGCGCAACAGCAGCAUCUGUUACAUCAUGUGCAACAGACACAGCAGCUGGUGCAAGUCCCUCAUCCGAUGAGACGUGGAGUGCUAGUCACCGCCCGUACAACCAUCGCCAUACGUGAAUGGUGCCGGUGGUAUGCCGAAGAAAAUCGCCGGUCGUGAGUGGAGUGCGGAGACGAUAGAGGCGUCAAUGCGACCUGAAGCACGAACCAAAAAUUUUCAUCGAAAACUCCUUCCGUAAUCGCACGCCACCGGCUAUCACAUCACCGCAGCGCGGGAGACCGAUCGGCUACGGGCCUGAUCUUCAAUAGGGGGGCCCCCUCUGCUGAUCGGGAAUGGUAGCAGCUGCUGCUCGUCAUCCGACGAACGGAUCCACAAAGAAUUGCUGCGGCAUGCACUGACGCAUCAUCCGCUCCAUCACCACCACCAUUCUAAUCAGCAUCACAGUGAGGUUCAGCAACGGUACCUCAUCGGAUGCUGCUUACGAAAACAGCGAGUAAAGCCUCCAUCCACAUCAUGCAUCGGCCAAGGAUAUGUGCUCUCCUCCCCAGCCUCGUUGAACGGUUCGUUAAAGCGAUCGGAACCGAACGAUUCGUACAGUGGGACCCCGACCGAUUACCAUCAUCACCUCCGUAAUCGACAGCAACUCGUUGCAUCAUCGGAUGAACGGACAAUGCAGAUAGCAAACGGUGCCGUCACUCCUCCACCCUAUCAUCCGCACAACCUCGGCACGGAGUACGGUGGCCAAGCACCACUGUCACUGCCAGGUACGGUUUCCACGGUGACCCCAUACUAAUACCAAAGCCCGCUCCGGAAAGGGGCGCACGGCAUCGCGGAGAUAAGAGGGUGAUUUUUAUGGGUAAAUUAGUGUAAUUUAUUUAUAAUUUAAAAAAAUAAUUUUUUCAAAUAAAAUUUGGUGUUAUACAUAUAUUUGUAGAAAAUAAAUAUAUAUAUCACAUGUACACAAUAUAUACCGUGCCUGCGCACGCUGCGGACAAAAUGUGAACUAUUUU